rnacentral:rRNA from 1 species
UACGGGGGGGGCAAGCGUUGUUCGGAAUUACUGGGCGUAAAGGGCUCGUAGGCGGCCCACUAAGUCAGACGUGAAAUCCCUCGGCUUAACCGGGGAACUGCGUCUGAUACUGGAUGGCUUGAGUUUGGGAGAGGGAUGCGGAAUUCCAGGUGUAGCGGUGAAAUGCGUAGAUAUCUGGAGGAACACCGGUGGCGAAGGCGGCAUCCUGGACCAACACUGACGCUGAGUGAGCGAAAGCCAGGGGAGCAAACGGG